GCGUAGAGAUCUGGAGGAAUACCGGUGCGAAGGCGGCCCCUGGACAAAGACUGACGCUCAGGUGCGAAAGCGUGGGAGCAAACAGGAUUAGAUACCCUGGUAGUCCACGCCGUAAACGAUGUCGACUGGAGGUUGUUCCCUUGAGGAGUGGCUUCCGGAGCUAACGCGUUAAGUCGACCGCCUGGGGAGUACGGCCGCAAGGUUAAAACUCAAAUGAAUUGACGGGGGCCCGCACAAGCGGUGGAGCAUGUGGUUUAAUUCGAUGCAACGCGAAGAACCUUACCUACUCUUGACAUCCACGGAACUUUUCAGAGAUGAAUUGGUGCCUUCGGGAACCGUGAGACAGGUGCUGCAUGGCUGUCGUCAGCUCGUGUUGUGAAAUGUUGGGUUAAGUCCCGCAACGAGCGCAACCCUUAUCCUUUGUUGCCAGCGGUUCGGCCGGGAACUCAAAGGAGACUGCCAGUGAUAAACUGGAGGAAGGUGGGGAUGACGUCAAGUCAUCAUGGCCCUUACGAGUAGGGCUACACACGUGCUACAAUGGCAUAUACAAAGAGAAGCGACCUCGCGAGAGCAAGCGGACCUCAUAAAGUAUGUCGUAGUCCGGAUUGGAGUCUGCAACUCGA
rnacentral:rRNA from 1 species